rnacentral:misc_RNA from 1 species
CCGAGUUUACAACUCCCAAACCCCUGUGAACAUACCUAUACGUUGCCUCGGCGGAUCAGCCUGCGCCCCGUAAAAAGGGACGGCCCGCCCGAGGACCCCUAAACUCUGUUUUUAGUGGAACUUCUGAGUAAAACAAACAAAUAAAUCA